rnacentral:rRNA from 1 species
UGGGGAAUCUUCCGCAAUGGACGAAAGUCUGACGGAGCAACGCCGCGUGAGUGAUGACGGCCUUCGGGUUGUAAAGCUCUGUUAAUCGGGACGAAAGGCCUUCUUGCGAAUAGUUAGAAGGAUUGACGGUACCGGAAUAGAAAGCCACGGCUAACUACGUGCCAGCAGCCGCGGUAAUACGUAUGUCGCAAGCGUUGUCCGGAAUUAUUGGGCGUAAAGCGCGCGCAGGCGGAUAGGUCAGUCUGUCUUAAAAGUUCGGGGCUUAACCCCGUGAUGGGAUGGAAACUGCCAAUCUAGAGUAUCGGAGAGGAAAGUGGAAUUCCUAGUGUAGCGGUGAAAUGCGUAGAUAUUAGGAAGAACACCAGUGGCGAAGGCGACUUUCUGGACGAAAACUGACGCUGAGGCGCGAAAGCCAGGGGAGCGAACGGGAUUAGAUACCCCGGUAGUCCUGGCCGUAAACGAUGGGUACUGGGUGUAGGAGGUAUCGACCCCUUCUGUGCCGGAGUUAACGCAAUAAGUACCCCGCCUGGGGAGUACGACCGCAAGGUUG